UAACGCGUGAGGAACCUGCCUCAAAGAGGGGGACAACAGUUGGAAACGACUGCUAAUACCGCAUAAGCCCACAGCUCGGCAUCGAGCAGAGGGAAAAGGAGUGAUCCGCUUUGAGAUGGCCUCGCGUCCGAUUAGCUAGUUGGUGAGGUAAUGGCCCACCAAGGCGACGAUCAGUAGCCGACCUGAGAGGGUGACCGGCCACAUUGGGACUGAGACACGGCCCAA
rnacentral:rRNA from 1 species